CAUGGAAAAAAGAUAAGCUAAAGCCUUGAGAUUUAGCAUUUGAUCAUUAGUACUGCCUCUAAACUAAGAUUUUAGCCAAACUAUUCCACCUUCAUUAGGUCUCAUUUUCCUUAUCUUUUAAAAAUAAGGAUUUUUUUGAUUGAUGAGUGGUCUGGUUUUAUAAAAGUACUUAGCAAUUAUAAUAUAUAUCUGAAUAAUCUUGUAAUAUAUAUCUGAAUAAUCUUGUAAUCCCUCGAAGAAGGCAGUGGCACCCCACUCCAGUGUUCUUGCCUGGAGAAUCCCAGGGACAGGGGAGCCUGGUGGGCUGCCGUCUAUCGGGUCGCACAGAGUCGGACACGACUGAAGCGACUUAGCAGCAGCAGCAGCAGCAAUCUUGUAAUCCCUACCUUAAAAUAAAUAUUUUUCUAUAGAUGAUAAAAUUUCUAAAUUUAUCAGUUAGGUCAUCUAGUACAUGAAUUAAAAAUUUCAUGAUAUAGAUUUUGUCUUAUCACACUAAAGCAUCAUAAUGCACUUUUACCCCACAGAAAGUUUGUAUUGGAAAAUAAGAACAUAGUGGUACAAUCUCUUAACUUUGAGAGAAGUACCAAGUUAGAGUCAAAAUGAAUUAUUCCUUUUUUCUGCUGUGUGGUUCUGUAGGUUGAGGUUGAGAGCAGGCAGGCUGGAAAAGUGCCCUAGGGUGAAUGAAAGGUGGUAUGUUAAUAAAUAAAUGGGCAUGAUACUUCCCAAGUUUAGACAAUACUCAUGUUAAAUGAGAAUUCUAAGUCUGGAUGUAUCCUUGUGGAAAUCUAGAACAGAUAUGAGUCAGAUAUCAUAUGGGAUUAAUAUGUUAUAAAAUAAUAUAUAAAGUAUUGAUCCUCCUGAAUCACUCUCAUUUUCAGGUCAUUAGGAAUUUUGUUGGGAUAAUCCUCCAAAUGAAUUUGAAGCAUUCUAUUCAAAUGAUGAUUUAAACAGAUUUGAUUUGCAAAUGUAAGUGAACGCAUGUAUUUAAUCAAGAAUGUGUAAAGACAUAAUACUGCAUUAAAGCCCUUUAAUGCUGGUGUUUAAAUAUCUGUCUUUUUCAGAUAUUCUGUAUACAUAUUACCCUUUAACUCUCCCCUGGCAAUGAUGAUUUGCUUUUUUAGCAGUUUUUAUUUUGUAUUGGGGUGUAGCCAAUUAACAAUGUUGUGAUAGUUUCAGGUAAAUAGAGAAGGGACUUAGCCAUCCAUGUACAUGUAUCCAUUCUCCCCCAAACUCUCCUCCCACAUGUGCUCCAUAUAACAUUGAGCAGAGUUCUCUGUCCUAUAUAGUAAGUUCUUGUUGGUUAUCCUCUUUAAAUAAAGCAAUUUAACUUUUUAAGGAAAGUUUAAACCUACAUAACGGUUUCCCUGGUGGCUCAGACAGUAAAGAAUUUGCCUGCGAUGUGGGAGACCUGGGUUUGAUCCCCAGAUUGGGAAUAUCCUCUGGAGAAGGGAAUGGCUCUCUAUUUCAGUAUUCUUGCCUGGAGAAUUCCAUGGACAGAGGAGCCUGGUGGGCUAUAGUCCAUCGGGUUGCAGAGGCAGACACAACUGAGAGACUAACACACACACCUACAUAUAUGUUACAGAAUAGUACAUAGAUUUUCCAUAUGUCCUUGACCCUGCUUCCUCUAACAUUAAUAUCUUAUAUAUCUUGAGUUCAAUUAUCAAAAGCAAGAAACAAACAUUUGUAUUGAUGAUUAGUUUUAAUGCUAUUAGUCUCUCAAUAAUUUUUAUAAAAAAGUAAAAUAUAUUUAGAAAUAAGAAUAUUAUAACAUAUUAUUUAUAUGCUCUAAAUGCUAUUUUAAACUUUUAACAUUGAAAGCCAAUGUGAUGAACUAUACACUGUUAGCCAAUAGUUAUGAACAUAACCUACUAUAAAUGAUCCUAACACUCUAAUAUGGACACCAGUUACGCUAUUUAUUUCAGGUUCCAGCAAACAGUUUUGACCUACUGUAGCUGACAUGUUGCUAUUGUUGGUAUUGAGUCGCUAAGGUAUUUUUAACACUCUGCAACCCGCCAGGCUCCUCUGUCCGUGGGAUUUCCCAGGCAAGUAAUACUGGGUGGGUUGCCAUUUUCUUCUCCAGGGGAUCUUUUCGACCUAGGGAUUGAACCUGUGUCUCCUGCGUUUGGAGGCAGGUUCUUUACCACUGAGCCACCAGGGAAACCCCUUUCACUGACAUAAAUGUUUGCAAAUAACAGAAGUUUAAAAAUAAAAAUAAAGUUAAAAAAAGAAAAAGAAAACUGCAGGUGCUGUUGGAUAUAAAAUGUCAAGUUUAGGAGUGACAGAGAACACCAUCAAGGAGAUGGUUUAGAUAGUGGAAACACAUCAGUGGGCAAUUAAGGAUUUAUGGAAAUUAUGCAACAUUAAUAAGGGCAUUAUUCAUAUCUCUGGAGCCUAGGAGGAGUGGCCAGCAAUUUGCAGGGGGAAGGAAAUGAGAUUUAUGUUUGGUGAGGACUUUUAUAUUCCUCUAGUAGAAUUUUAUGAGGGGCUGACUUUUUGGCCUGGAAUCAACCUUCUGCAGUAGAAAUAUUUCCAGCCUUAUUUCAGCACCCACCCUUGUUAAAUACCCUCACCCACCCAAUUGCUCAAGCCCAAAACCCAGAAGUCACCCUGUGCUUCUCUUUUUAUAAUUCCCUAAGUCUGAUUCAUCAAUGAGUGCUAUUACUUCUGCCUCAUAAAUGUGUCUUUAAACCAUCUCAUUCUGUUCAUCUCAACUGCUACCACCCCAGAAUGUGGCUCUGUCCUCUCAUACCAGAACUAUUGCAAUAGCACCCUGACUGUUCUUGGAAUUUAUCCUUAUCCCUCUCUAACCUCUUCUCCAUAAUCAAGCUGGAUUUGUAUUUUUAAAUCAUAAAUUUCAUAAAUGUCGCUCUUUCCUUAAGAUUUUCAAAGUCUUUCCAUUGCACACAGAUUAAAAGACCUAAAACACAUCCAGAAAUGGAAUACUAUUCAAUGCUAAAAUGAAACGAGCUAUCAAGUCAUGAAAAGAUAUGGAGGAACCUUAAAUGUAUAUUACUAAGUGAAAGAAGCGAAUCUACAAAGGUUAUAUGCUGUAUGAUUUCCACUUCAUGGUGUUCUGGAGAAUAUUAAGAUAAAGAAACAGGAAAAAAAAAAAAAAAAGGUUGCCAGAGGCUAGGUGUAAACAGAUGGAGCACAGAGGAUUUUGUAGUAGUAAAACUUCUGUAUUUUGAUAUUAUGGUAUAUAUAAUAAUAUGUUGUUGUUUUUUAGUCACUAAGUCGUGUCCAAUUCUUUUGUGACUCCAUGGAAUGUAGCCCA
ensembl:lncRNA